GAUGAACGCUGGCGGCGUGCUUAACACAUGCAAGUCGGACGAACCUUCGGGUUAGUGGCGGACGGGUGAGUAACGCGUGAGAAUCUGCCCUCAGGAGGGGGAUAACGGUUGGAAACGGCCGCUAAUACCCCAUAUGCCGCGAGGUGAAAUGAAUUUCGCCUGAGGAUGAGCUCGCGUCUGAUUAGCUAGUUGGUGUAGGUAAAGGCUUACCAAGGCGACGAUCAGUAGCUGGUCUGAGAGGAUGAUCAGCCACACUGGGACUGAGACACGGCCCAGACUCCUACGGGAGGCAGCAGUGAGGAAUUUUCCGCAAUGGGCGAAAGCCUGACGGAGCAAUACCGCGUGAAGGAUUAAGGCCUAUGGGUUGUAAACUUCUUUUCUCAGAGAAGAAUUUUGACGGUAUCUGAGGAAUAAGCAUCGGCUAACUCUGUG
rnacentral:rRNA from 1 species